UGUGUCUAUUUGACAGACCUGGAGCAGUUAAUGUCCGCUUCUAAGGUUUCCACUAUAGAUGCAAGAAAACAGAUCCUUGCAAUUUCUGCCUGCCUGAUUGUGGCAGCCAAGAUUGAAGGGGAGAUACUGGA
rnacentral:snoRNA from 1 species